AUUGGUUUUGAUUGUAACAUGUGCAGACCCUAUAUGCCUGCGUCUAAUGUGCCUUCCUCAGACUGCUGUGGAUCUUCACUUGUAGCACAAAUUGUCACAAAAGUAAAAGAGCUAGACCCACCCAAGACUUAUACCCAGGAUGGUGUGUGUUUGACUGAAUCAGGG